UACGAAGGGGGCUAGCGUUGCUCGGAAUCACUGGGCGUAAAGCGCACGUAGGCGGGUUCUUAAGUCAGGGGUGAAAUCCCAGAGCUCAACUCUGGAACUGCCUUUGAUACUGGGUAUCUCGAGUAUGGAAGAGGUGAGUGGAAUUCCGAGUGUAGAGGUGAAAUUCGUAGAUAUUCGGAGGAACACCAGUGGCGAAGGCGGCUCACUGGUCCAUUACUGACGCUGAGGUGCGAAAGCGUGGGGAGCAAACAGG
rnacentral:rRNA from 1 species